rnacentral:rRNA from 1 species
UACAGAGGGUGCGAGCGUUGUUCGGAAUUACUGGGCGUAAAGCGCGCGCAGGCGGCCCUUUAAGUCCGUCGGUGAAAGACCGGGGCUCAACCCCGCGUCAGCCAUGGAUACUGGAGGGCUGGAGACAGGUAGAGGCAAGCGGAAUUCCGGGUGUAGCGGUGGAAUGCGUAGAUAUCCGGAAGAACACCGGAGGCGAAGGCGGCUUGCUGGACCUGGUCUGACGCUGAGGCGCGAAAGCGUGGGGAGCGAACAGG